rnacentral:rRNA from 1 species
GAUGAACGCUAGCGGCAGGCUUAAUACAUGCAAGUCGUGGGGCAGCAGGAAGUAGCAAUACUUUGCUGGCGACCGGCAAACGGGUGCGUAACACGUACGCAACUUUCCCUUUACUGGAAGAUAGCCACCGAAAGGUGGAUUAAUACUCCAUAUUCUAAUGAAACGGCAUCGUUUUAUUAUCAAAGCUCAGGCAGUAAAGGAUGGGCGUGCGGCUGAUUAGAUAGUUGGCGGUGUAACGGCCCACCAAGUCUACGAUCAGUAGGUGAUGUGAGAGCAUGAUCAGCCACACGGGCACUGAGACACGGGCCCGACUCCUACGGGAGGCAGCAGUAAGGAAUAUUGGUCAAUGGACGCAAGUCUGAACCAGCCAUGCCGCGUGAAGGAUGAAGGUCCUCUGGAUUGUAAACUUCUUUUAUAUGGGACGAAACACUUUCUUUCUAGAGCGCUUGACGGUACCAUAGGAAUAAGCACCGGCUAACUCCGUGCCAGCAGCCGCAGUAAGAC